rnacentral:rRNA from 1 species
GACGAACGCUGGCGGCGUGCUUAACACAUGCAAGUCGAACGAUGAAGCCGGAGCUUGCUCCGGUGGAUUAGUGGCGAACGGGUGAGUAACACGUGAGCAAUCUGCCCUUGACUCUGGGAUAACUGCGGGAAACUGUAGCUAAUACCGGAUACGACACCUUGGGGCAUCCCAGGGUGUGGAAAGAAUUUCGGUCAAGGAUGAGCUCGCGGCCUAUCAGCUAGUUGGUGAGGUAAUGGCUCACCAAGGCGACGACGGGUAGCCGGCAUGAGAGGGUGACUGGGAACACUGGAACGGAGACACGGUCCGGAGUACUACGGGAGGCAGCAGUGGGGAAUAUUGCACAAUGGGCGAAAGCCUGAUGCAGCAACGCAGCGUGAGGGAUGAAGACUUUCGGGUUGUAAACCUCUUUUAGCAGGGAAGAAGCGAAAGUGACGGUACCUGCAGAAAAAGCACCGGCUAACUACGUGCCAGCCGCCGCCGUAA